rnacentral:rRNA from 1 species
CUAACGCACGACGGGGGAAUUCCAAGUGCUAAUACUUUGUAUUAGCUGUUCUCUUGUCUAAAAAACAAGAGGAGUAAGGGCCGGGUAAGACGGGUGCCAGCCGCCGCGGUAAUACCCGCGGCCCAAGUGGUGGUCGUUAUUAUUGGGUCUAAAACGUCCGUAGCCGGUUCAGUAAACCCUUGGGUAAAUCGAACUGCUCAACAGUUCGAAUUCUGAGGAGACUGCUGAGCUUGGGACCGGGAGAGGUUAGAGGUACUCUUGGGGUAGGGGUGAAAUCCUGUAAUCCUAGGGGGACCACCAGUGGUGAAGACGUCUAACUAGAACGGGUCCGACGGUAAGGGACGAAGCCCUGGGGCGCAAACGGGAUUAGAUACCCCGGUAGUCCAGGGUGUAAACGCUGCGGGCUUGGUGUCGGGGAUCCCACGAGGGUGCCCGGUGCCGGAGAGAAGUUGUUAAACCCGCUACCUGGGGAGUACGGUCGCAAGACUGAAACUUAAAGGAAUUGGCG